GUGAGGAAUAUUGGUCAAUGGGCGGGAGCCUGAACCAGCCAAGUCGCGUGAAGGAAGAAGGAUCUAUGGUUCGUAAACUUCUUUUGCAGGGGAAUAAAGUGCAGGACGUGUCCUGUUUUGUAUGUACCCUGAGAAUAAGGAUCGGCUAACUCCGUGCCAGCAGCCGCGGUACUACGGAGGAUCCGAGCGUUAUCCGGAUUUAUUGGGUUUAAAGGGUGCGUAGGUGGUUUGAUAAGUCAGCGGUGAAAGUUUGCAGCUUAACUGUAAAAAUGCCGUUGAAACUGUCGGACUUGAGUGUAAAUGAGGUAGGCGGAAUGCGUGGUGUAGCGGUGAAAUGCAUAGAUAUCACGCAGAACUCCGAUUGCGAAGGCAGCUUACUAAGCUACAACUGACACUGAAGCACGAAAGCGUGGGGAUCAAACAGGAUUAGAUACCCUUGUAGUCC
rnacentral:rRNA from 1 species